AGUGACAUCAGUUGCUCGCCGCGGGAGGCUGCUGUCGUCAUCAAGCCCCAGACGUCCUCAGCAAGGACAGCCAGGAGCAGUGGGCAGCCCUUUUCUUCAGUUCCAGGCGGACAUGGUCAGGGACAGGACAGCACCACGGAGGCACGGAGG